rnacentral:rRNA from 1 species
UACGUAGGGGGCGAGCGUUGUCCGGAUUCAUUGGGCGUAAAGAGCUCGUAGGCGGUUCAGUAAGUCGGGUGUGAAAGCUCCGAGCUCAACUCGGAGAGGCCACCCGAUACUGCUGUGACUUGAGUCCAGUAGAGGAGCGUGGAACUCCUGGUGUAGCGGUGAAAUGCGCAGAUAUCAGGAAGAACACCGGUAGCGAAGGCGGCGCUCUGGGCUGGUACUGACGCUGAGGAGCGAAAGCGUGGGUAGCAAACAGG